UGGGGAAUAUUGCGCAAUGGGCGAAAGCCUGACGCAGCGACGCCGCGUGAGGGAAGAAGGCCUUCGGGUCGUAAACCUCUGUCUGGAGGAAAGAAACCCAUGGGUUCAAAUAGGGCUCAUGGCUGACGGUACCUCCGAAGGAAGCACCGGCUAACUCCGUGCCAGCAGCCGCGGUAAUACGGAGGGUGCAAGCGUUAAUCGGAAUCACUGGGCGUAAAGCGCACGUAGGCUGUCUUGCAAGUCAGACGUGAAAGCCCUCGGCUCAACCGGGGAACUGCGUUUGAAACUGCAUGACUUGAGUACAGGAGAGGAUGGCAGAAUUCCGGGUGUAGGGGUGAAAUCCGUAGAUAUCCGGAGGAAUACCAGUGGCGAAGGCGGCCAUCUGGACUGUCACUGACGCUGAGGUGCGAAAGCGUGGGGAGCAAACAG
rnacentral:rRNA from 1 species